rnacentral:lncRNA from 1 species
GUACAAGCUCUCGCCUGCCGCCAUGUAAACGUUCUUUGCUCCUGCUUCGUCUUCUGCCGUGAUUGUGAGGCCUCCCCAGCCAUGUGGAACUACUCAUCACUCACUGCAGAUGUUACUUUAAGACAUUCUGGAGCAGCGUCAUGUGCAGGAACAAUAAGGAAGUGAGUGCUUUUGUAAUUCCUGAACAACUGUGUCUUACACUUACUAAGUUCUCUUGCCUGCCACCAUGUAAGAUAUGCUUUUACUCUUCCGCCUUCCACCGUGACUGUGAGGCCUCCCCAGCCAUGUGAAACUGCCUUUGAGCUUAUACUGAAUUAUACCACCAGCUUUCCUAGGUCUUGAAGCUUACAGACAGCAGAUCUUGGGACUUCUCAGGCACCAUAAUCAAUCAUAGAUAAAUGAUCCAAUGAUUCGGAACUUGAAAAGUGGUAGCUUUAUGAAUUCUCCUUAAGAAGAAACCUGUGCCCUGAUCUUGCCUACUCACCCAAAGGCACUGUGAGAUAGCAUCAAAGGAACAGCUAGUAAGAGACACAGAGCCAGAAAUCAGGGAAGUAAAAUACACUUGACAUCUACGUUCGGAAAGAAAUUUUAGGAGGCAGAAGCAAAUGGAUCAGAAGCUGCUUAUAUUUUUGCAAGAUUACCAAAGAAACCAUUGGUGGAGAAAGUUCUGUGACCAACUUGUCUGAGUCUAGUAAGAUUGAACGCUCACACACAAGUUUCAUGAAGUGGGUUUGAUACUUACAGAUAAGCAGCAAGGACCAACAGAAGCUGAUGAUCUAUGGUGAACUUUUUCCCAAGGCUCCGGAAAGCUGCCUAAAGUAGAUGGAGUCUUCUCUGUGUGUGCCCCACUGGUCCUGCAGUUGAAGGAUCCGGUAAAGCAGCCUGCCCUUGGUUUUAUACUCCAGAGGAACGUGAUUCGCUGGACUAAAGCAUUGAAGUGCAUCCUGUUUCCGGGGGGCACUGGAACAGAGCCUGGUCUGUUCUAGCCAGUCCCUUUCUAUCUCAGGAUAACAUUCUACAGUUAUUCUUGAGAACUAUAAUCAAAUAAGCAGGGAGAACUGGAGGCUCAUUGUGGAACCCUCAAGGAGCAUGGGGUCGUCUUCAUCCCUCAGUUUAUAAAUGGCCAAGGAGAGUAAUGCAACAAAAACUUCUCAGAGUUAAAAGCCAGAGUUCCUAAAGAACCGUGGACAAAGGGUUCUGUCUAGUGGGCAGAAUUCAUCCAGCGAAGGUGCUUACUGCACUCCCAGCAUGUGCUUGGGAACUUUAUUAAAAUUCCUUCCUAUUGAGAUUUAAAUUGCUGUCCAGAAUUAUACAAUAUAAUGAAUGGGGGCAUUCAUUAUGUGUAUUCUAUGCCUUCUCCAUCAUUGCAUAUUCAGUCCUCGUGCUAGAGAGAGGCAGAUAAUCUACCUUUUAAAUUGAUAGGUCUCCUAACUACAGAGGGUCACAUCUGGAUCUGAUGGCACCUACAGAACUUGGACUCUGAGCGACAAUCAGUGACCAGGAAAUUUGGAACCCAGGUUUUCCCAACCUACAUCUACAAAAUGGAAUGGGUCUGAUUCGCAAGUUUUCAGAGAAAGAAGCCAACCUUAAUCAGACUGUGAUAUGAUGAGGAAAUAAAACUUGCUGUGCUAAUCAACUGA